GAUGACAAAUCCCUGUGAGGCGUGCGGUUGUAGAGACGCAGAGGAAAGGGUGCACAGGAGGCAUUUUAAGGUGGAGUCAGCAGGACCCAGAGGCUGAUCAAAUGAGGGAGUGAAAGGAGAACAGAAGGGUCUGGGAAGCAGAUUUGCUAAGGUUUCUCAGUGAUGCCCAUGAGGAAAGAUGGGAGAAAUAUGGAUUGGCUGCGAGAAUGGAGUAAAUAUUGUACAGCAUCUUCUCCCAGCCCUCAAGUGACUGUAGACUGCGCUGUCUGAAGCAUGUGUUUCAGAAAAGGAAGGUGACAGCCUCAUUCAGUUUUGUGCUGGUUAAAUGGCAAUGGAUUAUUGCUUUUGCUUGUGGACACAAGAGCAACAUGGAGACAUGGAAGCACGUUCAGACGAGAGCAAGCGUGACAGUGAAGAGGCUAGAGUCACCUGAUUCCAACAUCGUCAUCACCACCAUCUGUUGGGCGCUUACAUCUCACAAAAUCAUCUCACAGCCUAUGCAGCAGUCAUUUCCAUUCCCACCUUACCUACGAGGAAACUGAGCCUCAGGGGAUGACAUCACUGUAACACUACUGCUUCUGGCUCCACGGUUUUCAUGAGGGAAGACAUACCCAAACCCAUGCUCUUUCCACCCCUCCUUACUGUGUCCUAAACCUCACCAUCUGAGGGACUGUUGAGGGAUGUGGGGAUCCUUACGUUUCAGUUGGAAUCAGACUCUGCCCCGUGCCCUGUCUCUGAGGUCCAAUUUACUUUGUCCUGUCUCUGCUAUACCUUACUCUCCUUACUCCAGCUGGACACAAGUUCUGGAUCUCUUGUACCAAAUCAGACCUCCCCAACUCAUGUCUUCUACCGAAACAGACCUCCCUGAUUCGUGAUCCUGACAUCCACUGGCAUUGUGAGGGGCUACUGCCUAGGACACCGUGACCACAUCCUAUUUAUCACUUUACCUCCUCCCCAGGACACAGUUUUCCUAGACCACUUCUGUUAUCCAACCUCACUUAGACCAGGGCUAUACAGUUAUGACAAUCCAACUUGUUUAGCAAGAAGACAGAUUUAGCAUUUCGGGUGGCUCCUGGGCUGGACAGGCAGAGCUGGGGCCUGGAUAAGAAAUGGAUCCCCCCAGGAGAGACACAGGGACCAGUUCCUAGGUGCUCAGAGAAACCGGAGCGGAAGAGUUGAUCCACUGGGAUCAACUUAUAGGGUUCGGUGGCUGACUGGACAUAGUUUCUAAGGAAGAAAUGGGAAUCUGGUUUAGAGAUAGAGGAGACUAUUGGUUCUUUUCAGGUUGAUGGUAGAAGAAUUAUGAAAGCUGCUUCAGGGAAACACAGAUCUUCCCUUUCCUGUUACAUACUCAUUCCUAAAGAAUCCUAGUUUAGGGCCUGGGAGAUUGGACACAUAGUUAACAGAGACACAAGACUUGUAACCCAGGAGUCUGGUGGUUCCCACUAUGUGUGAGUCUGUUUUUGAGCCAGCAUAACAUUAAAGUAGACUCAGCCUCUUUUGGCUCUACCCCCAAAGAAUCUGCUGUCCCCAAAGGCAUUGUUUAGAGGCAGGCGACAAAGUACAAAAUUCUUAGGGGUGGUGAAGGAAUUUAUAGAGCUGCCUCUGAGAACACUUGCUCAAAUCAGGAUCGAUGUGCAUGUUCCCUGGUGUUCUCGCCCUGCCCCAGCCUGUCACUGGCAGGCACUGUCUCUCCAUUCUUCCCACCCCAGCCUGGCCUCUCUUGUGCCGAGUAAUCCUGCUCUGCCUGACACGUGCUUUUCCAUGCUCAGCGAAGCAAGGCCGUUGACAGGCCCAGCCUCCUUGGGAGAUGGUUUAAUGUGUUGCUUUUGCUACUCAACAAUGCCCUGUGGAGUAUUGCUCACUCCUAUUUGUAUAAACAACCCCCUCAUGUAUCUCUUCCAAGCACGCACAGCAUUCUUUCCCUGGCAGUUUUGGUUGUAACUUUGUCUCUUUCAGUACAGAAGCUGAAGUGGGUGUGGCUGGGAAGGCCUGAAGUUACUGCAGAGCUAGGAUUUGAACCUGGGUUUUGUGACUCCCAGUCUAAUGCUUCUUCCACAGUAUCAGAUGGUGUGGGCUGCAGGUCUCUGCAGGUGAGGGCUUCUGGCUCAGCUGCUGGGGAGUAAGCACCAAGUAGGCACUUGGGCCAGAAAAACCAGGGUUGCUAAGGAAAUCAGAUGAAGGGAGGACAUUCAGAUGAAGAAACAGAUCAUUUCCAAGCAAGAACUAGCAAGAACUCCAGAUUCCUUAUGUGCAUUCAGAUGGUCUUUUUUGAAAGGUAUUUGGGCUUGAAAAGCACAUGUACUUUAUCAGCUGUGUACCUCUGCUAUUGUACAAGGAAAGCCUCAUUCUCUUCUGUCCGGAUACCAUCCUUCAACACCCUACUCAAAUGCCGCCUCCUCCAAGAAGCCUUCUUCCCUCCACUUGGAAGUAAAAUCUGCUUCUCUACUCAUUCCUCUCUCAUGGUCCUCAUCUCAUGCCAUGUUCUGUUCUAGCUGAUAACAUUUACAUAUGUGACUCAGUGGUAUACCUCAUGUAUUUGACACACAGAACGGAUCAUUUUAAUGACCCUCUGCUCUAUAAGACAAAAGUAUUUUCAGUCAUAUUUAUGUAAAAAUCAGCAAUCAUCACUACUUUCUCGAUUUCUUCUUUAGUUAUAAAGCAGUGAACAAUUUUUAAAAAGACAAAUACAUUUUAACUUUAAGAUAUUCAAAUGCAGUAAAAAUAUUUUUCGUAUGAGUCCAAAUUUUUACCUAUCAAACAAGAUGUUACAACUCAUUGUUCACAAUCUGUUUUGUUGCUUUAAAUUUUAAACACAUAUGAGAAGCUUACAGGGGUCACCUAGGAUGAGAGAAUUGAAAUAAUUCAAGUUCUGGUUUUUUGUUUGUACAACCACUACGCUAUCAUUUUUUGUUUCAAAUCUACUGUUUACAUGCAGAAGCAGGUAAUAAGUGCCACUGAGGUUGGAGACAUAAGGACGUCAAAGGAUCUGAACCAUCGCACACUUACUCUUGCAACAAGAACACGCCCCUGAGUCUGUGCAUGUUGGGGCCAAGUGCAUAACCGGGAGUUCUCCAGAUUAAUGUCAAUGUAGAACACAAUAUUUAUGAAAGGAUAAAUAAUAAAGAUGUGAUGAAUUUGAAGCUUACAUAUACUUACUACAUAAAAUCCAACAGUAACCACGGAGAUUGUUUAGAACUUAGGCCAUAAAACCAUUUUUUUCUGGAAAGAGCUUUGCCUUUAUCGCUGAUACUCUUUCUUUUGGGAUGGAGUUUCACUUUGUUGCCCAGGAUGGAGUGCGACGGCGCCAUCUCGGCUCAUUGCAACCUCUGCCUCCCGGGUUCAAGCAAUUCUCCUGCCUCAGCGUACCAAGUAGCUGGGAUUACAGGUGCCCAUGACCAAGCCUGGCUAAUGUUUUGUAUUUUUAGUAGAGAUGGCAUUUUACCAUGUUGGCCAGGCUGGUUUUGAACUCCUAACCUCAGGUGAUCCACCCACCUCGGCCUCCCAAAGUGCUGGGAUUACAGGCGUGAGCCACGGCGCCCGGCUGACAUUCUUUAUAAUUGUGAUAAUGACAGGCAGAUCAGCUUUUGGUUAUAUUUGUAUUUAAAUUCUCCACAGACGGUUGCUCUUUUAUUGAUGGCACAUCCCCCCUCCACCCAGUCCCAUGGCCCCCUAUUCCCUCCCCACCCCACUCCCACCCCAUUUGACUGUAAAUUCCUGCAAGGUGGGGACGGCUGUGCAGCCCCCUGUUGUACAGUGCCCACUGCACAAGCGCAGUGGUUUGCAGGCCAAGGCCCCAGGGAGAUCGCCUUAGGAUGUCCUCCCUUUUCCUCUAUGGGAGGCCAGAUUUUCUUCCUACAUUUCAAACAAAGCAAUACAUCACAACAGACUGAGUACAGAAACAGGUAAGAUAAUCCAGCUGUCUUGGGAAGCCAGAUAUUAGAGAGAUUUGCAACAUUUCUUUGUAAAACAAUGUCACUCUUCUCCAUUUAAAACUUAUUUGGAAAAUACAAGUUAUUUUUCAUAAAAUUACAUUAUAUGUGUUAAUAUGCAAGGGUUUAUUAUCAUUUUAAAAAGUGUUAGCAGAUUUUAAAGAUUUCUCAGUUUUAAUUUCUAAUGAAGGAAAUAUUGAUAUCUCACAUAAUAAACACUGUUUGGGGUCCUCAGUGAUUUUUAAGAGAGGAAACGUGUGAACAGAGUGUGUGAGUUGUACUCAGGCACUGCGUUACGUAUGGCAGGUGCUCAUGUAUGCUUGUGACACUCAUGAGGGACUGACUGAAUAGG
rnacentral:lncRNA from 1 species